UCUCUCUCUCUGUAGCUCUUUUACUCUCUGUCUGGCUCUCUUUCUUCUUCCUCUUCUUCUAUGUAGACGCAACUUGGGCUCUGCAUCGUCAACAAGAGAACGCGAAGCUUCGGAGUAUCUAUUUUUCUCUUUCCCCAUCAUCACCCGAUCAUCCACCGUCACCCAGACAGGACGAACGACCGUCUACGGACGACCAGAAGAGACCAACGGACGACCAAAGGCGCACAAACGGUGCAGCAAGUGCAACCACGUACCGCCAUCAUCAUCAGGACUGAGAGAGACUGAGUCAGUCUCCUCCACUCUCAGUCAGUGCUCUGUUGAUCGCGGUGAUGAGAAGUCGUGCUCCGCUCUCGCCUCGCACUCACUCACGUCUGCCGUAGGUGGCGAGCGAGAUAGGUCGUAUAUUGGUUGCUUGGACAGACGCUAGGCCUAAGGAAAAAGUGAUGAUAUUGUAAUAAAGAAAAAAGGUGACACGAAAAGAGGAAAUGGGAGAAAGAGUGAUAAAAGCGGCAGAUGAAACAGUAGAACAGAAAGGAAGAUGAGAGGAAGCGAUGAUCUCAGUCAUAAACAGGAGGAAAUAGUUGCUAAUCGCGUGGUAACUGUUGGGUAUAAGUAAUGCACAACGGAUGUGGAAUAAGUGAGGUAAUUGAAGAUUAAAAGUAAAUAAAUUGGAGUUUUCGGAGAUUGAGAAGUGUGUGAAUAAAGGCGUUUUAUACUUACAAAAUUCAGAAGGAAAAGUGGAUUCGAAAAGUGUGUAUACAAAAUUAAGUGCAGCGUCUAGAAAGGUAAAAUAAACGGAGUAGAAGAAAGUAGCUUCGGAAAAUUGAAAAGUGCAAAAGUGUUUUAAUAUAAGUAGAAAGUCGAAGAAAGCUCGAGAGAGAGAGAGAGAGAGAAAGAGAGUAAACACGAACGACGAGAUUUCACAGAAGAGAAUUAUGGCAUGAAAAAGAGAGCAAACAUCCGUCUAGAGUUUAGAACAAAAAAAUAAUAAAUAAGUGAAAACCGUUAUAGAUGUUGAGUGCGGAUAUCAGUUGAGCAAACAGUUUGCGGAAGGAGGAGGAGGAGAGGAAAAUAAGAAGAAGAAGAAGGAAGGAAGGAAUAAGAAAGAUCCAGGCAGCUGACAUUCCUACGGCCCUCCCUCACACACCAGAAGUAGUCCUUCUGGAUAAUCCUUCGUUGGACUACGGUAGACGACGAACGGUUCUAGAUUGGCUUGUCCGCGCCAGAAGCAGAUUCGAAGAGGAACCUGGUUUCUAAUUCGAGAAAACGUUAAGGAAAAAGUUUACGCAGUCGUUUUAUGAAAACGUUUUCUCAUCCGAGAAAACGUUUACGAAUACUUUUCUGAAAACGUUUGCAAGGCGAGAAAGCGUCUAGGAAAACGUUUACAGUUCCUACGAAACGUUUUCCAAUUUGAGAAAACGUCUACAGCUCGAGAAAACGUUUAACGAAAACGUCUCCGAAAAGGUUUACAAUCCGAGAGAACUUUACGGAAACGUUUACUAGAAAUAGAGAGUUGCUGACAGGAGGCAUUAAUUCUCUAGUUCGAGAAAACGUUUGCGAAAAAAUUUACAAGAAAUCGAGAGAAAAUGAAGCACAGACACCACGAGACAACGUUACUGGACCAAGAGAUGAUCUGGGCAUGCUAGAAAACGUCUGUGUGUAGAAGCGAAAAUGUUUCGGAGGUUUUAGAAAAUGUCUUUAGAAAAACGUUCUUUCACAAAAGGGGUUUUACAGCUUACGAAAAAGUCGAAGUGAAAGUAUCCAUAAAAAGGACUAUUUGAUCUUUGAGAACAUUUUCCCAAAUCUCGAAAUAAAAAUGUACUGGAGAUGACACGAGAAAACGCCGAGUGAAUUUCAAGAAUAAAAACGUUUAAAAAACAGUGAGUUGAAUUAGAAAUAAUAAUUGACGAUUUAAAUUAAAAUUGAAAUAAUAUUUGGAAUAAAAAAAUUUAACAUUUAAAUCAAGGUGCUAAUAAUCUCUCUCUCUCUCUCUCUCUCUCUCUCUCUCUCUCUCUCU